rnacentral:rRNA from 1 species
CCUACGGGGGGCAGCAGUAAGGAAUAUUGGUCAAUGGACGGAAGUCUGAACCAGCCAUGCCGCGUGCAGGAAGACGGCCUAUGGGUUGUAAACUGCUUUUGCAGGGGAAUAUGUACUCUGAGAAUAAGGAUCGGCUAACUCCGUGCCAGCAGCCGCGGUAAUACGGAGGAUCCAAGCGUUAUCCGGAUUUAUUGGGUUUAAAGGGUGCGUAGGUGGCUUUUUAAGUCAGGGGUGAAAGACGGUAGCUUAACUAUCGCAGUGCCCUUGAUACUGAAGAGCUUGAAUGAACUAGAGGUAGGCGGAAUGUGACAAGUAGCGGUGAAAUGCAUAGAUAUGUCACAGAACACCAAUUGCGAAGGCAGCUUACUAUGUUUAUUGACACUGAGGCACGAAAGCGUGGGGAUCAAACAGGAUUAGAUACCCUUGUAGUC